ensembl:ncRNA lncRNA:CR44745 long non-coding RNA:CR44745
CGCCAAAGUAUUAGCUGGAUUUUCGAAGGGUGUCCUUAGGAUUUUGAAAUGGAGCAAGAUGGUCUGCAUUUCUUUUCAUUUUGCCGAACGUGACCCAGCCUGUUCGAGAGGCUUUUGAUUGGCGUUCAGGUUUAUGGCCACAAAAACGGAUACGGAUACGCUUAAUUGCCACAGCCGAGAGUGUAAUCAAGGCGAAAGCCAUUCGGCCACGUGUGUCCUUUUGAUUAACAAAGGGUUUACCCCGGUUUUCCUCGAUUUUCCCCGCCACCUGCAGUUUCCACGAGGCUCGCUCGUAAAUCUCAACAGGCAGCCACAUCAGGACAAAUUAAUACAGGCGCAGCAGUCCAGGGAGCUCCAUUCAUUGCGGUCAUGUAGCAUCUUAGCCGCAUAUCCCUUAAAUGAUGUACCAAGGAGUGCUUAAGGAUGAGGGCUCGAAUAUCGGAUACCUCAUAUACUUCAGAGCAAGCUUUUAUUUCCAAGAAAUCAAUCCAUAUUUACGUACCUUUCGAAAAUAUUGCUUAGGGUUUUCUUUAUAUUUCAUCUUUCUACAAUUCUGAUGGAUCAUUACAAGCCACAGCAGAUGCCAUCAUACCACUUUCGCCCACUUUUUCGAUGGGUAUUAAAAGAAGCUGGAUGAAGAAAUAGCAGCUGAGCAAAAAAAAAAAAAGAAAUGAAAAUGCCAGCAAAAUCGUAGAAAAAAGGCCAAACGAUGGCCAUAAAUGGAUCAACUCGCCAACUCGCGCACCUGAGGCCACGCAGGAUGCCAGAAUGACAGGAUAACGGUGCAGGAGGAGCAGCAGCAGCAGGAGCAGGACCCCUGGCAACUGGAAGGGCAAUAAUAGCCAGAGAGAGUGCCGUGAGUUUUAUGGCCCAAACAUGCGUCCGCAUCCCUGUCAGGAUACCACCUCCAUCUCCCUUCGGUUUCAGCUGCAACAAAUCAGUGCAAGGAUUUUUUUACGAUUAACUGCGUAAUUGAGUCGUUUGGCUAAAGAAGACGCAGCCACAGGACGAAUUCCGGCCAGGGUAAAUUUAAUUAAACUGUAAUAAAGCAAAUCCCGUUCCCGCCCUUUGUAAUGAGGGCU